rnacentral:rRNA from 1 species
UACCAGCUCUCCGAGUGGUAGGGAUGAUUAUUGGGCUUAAAGUGUCCGUAGCCGGCUUAGCAAGUCUCCUGUUAAAUUCAGCGACCUAAUCGUUGAGCCGCGGGAGAUACUACUAGGCUAGGAGGCGGGAGAGGUCGACGGUACUUCUGGGGUAGGGGUGAAAUCCUAUAAUCCCGGGAGGACCACCAGUGGCGAAGGCUGUCGACUAGAACGCGCUCGACGGUGAGGGACGAAAGCUGGGGGAGCGAACCGGAUUAGAUACCCGGGUAGUCCCAGCUGUAAACGAUGCGGGCUAGGUGUUGGGGUGGCUACGUGCCACUUCAGUGCCGCAGGGAAGCCAUUAAGCCCGCCGCCUGGGGAGUACGGCCGCAAGGCUGAAACUUAAAGGAAUUGGCGGGGAGCACCACAAGGCGUGAAGCUUGCGGUUC